UACGAAGGGGGCUAGCGUUGCUCGGAAUCACUGGGCGUAAAGGGUGCGUAGGCGGGCUGCCAAGUCAGGGGUGAAAUCGUUCGGCCCAACCGGACAAGGGCCCCUGAUACUGGUGGCCUCGAGGGAGGUAGGGGUCGAUGGAACUUCCGGUGGAGCGGUGAAAUGCGUAGAUAUCGGAAGGAACGCCGGUGGCGAAAGCGAUCGACUGGACCUCUUCUGACGCUGAGGCACGAAAGCCAGGGGAGCAAACGGG
rnacentral:rRNA from 1 species